UACAGAGGUCUCAAGCGUUGUUCGGAUUCAUUGGGCGUAAAGGGUGCGUAGGUGGCUUGGUAAGUCGGGUGUGAAAUUUCGGAGCUUAACUCCGAAACUGCAUUCGAUACUGCCGUGCUUGAGGACUGGAGAGGAGACUGGAAUUUACGGUGUAGCAGUGAAAUGCGUAGAGAUCGUAAGGAAGACCAGUGGCGAAGGCGGGUCUCUGGACAGUUCCUGACACUGAGGCACGAAGGCCAGGGGAGCAAACGGG
rnacentral:rRNA from 1 species